rnacentral:rRNA from 1 species
AUACGUAGGGGGCGAGCGUUGUCCGGAAUGACUGGGCGUAAAGGGCGUGUAGGCGGCGGUGUAAGUCUGGAGUGAAAGUCCCGCAUUCAAUGUGGGAAUUGCUUUGGAUACUGCAGAGCUAGAGUGCGGAAGAGGUAAGUGGAAUUCCCAGUGUAGCGGUGAAAUGCGUAGAGAUUGGGAGGAACACCAGUGGCGAAGGCGACUUACUGGGCCGUAACUGACGCUGAGGCGCGAAAGCGUGGGGAGCGAACAGGAUUAGAUACCCUGGUAGUCCACGCGGUAAACGAUGAAUGCUAGGUGUUGCGGGUAUCGACCCCUGCAGUGCCGGAGUAAACACAAUAAGCAUUCCGCCUGGGGAGUACGGCCGCAAGGUUGAAACUCAAAUGAAUUGACGG